ensembl:lncRNA
CAGAUGCAGCUGGUGAUCAAACUAUCCCUGCAGAUCUUGACUGGUGGCUGAUGGGAGUGAAUGUUGUAUACUGAUGCAAUGCAGACUUGUUACUGAAAUCAAAACCUCACAUGGGCAAUUACAAUAUUUUUUAACAUAUUCCUGAUGCUUUCCCAGCAUCCUCGGAGUGCUAGCCAGUAGGACAGCCCAGUCCAACGGUCUGUGCAGGCUGAAAUACUGGAGCUCAUACAGUGCAGUUCCGAGCGGGAGCAGAUUGAGAUCGAGGAGUUGUGCUUUGAGCGGGAGCAGAUUAAGAUUAAGGAGCUGCACACAAAGGAUCAAGCUAAGAUGGCUAAUGUUGUGCCAACAGCAUCACCAACCAACACCAAGCACUUGGGGUACAUGUCAUAUAUGCACAACUAGUUAACAGUUUGAACGCACUUACGCACAUAUAAUGUGCCUUUCAUAACCACACCCUAAUUAAAGACUUCCUGUCAAAGUUUUCAGAAUUUCAAGAAACACGUGUUGCAGUGCCUCCUCAACGUUUCUCCCUUCCGGAAAGAUAUACUUACCCAGCGGGAACGGUGGAAUGAGGGAAGCACAAAGCUCAGGGCAAUUAGUGACCUGCACAUGCGGCUGACAGGCAAUGACAAGAAGCUGAAAGCAAAGUUCUUGUCUACAGUGAAGGCCUGCAUUGAAACUCACCAUCCAGACUUCUUGGGAGACCAUCAGCAUGUGAAGCAGACAGUGACCUGUACAUACAUGCUCAUACGUAUUAUUGUUUGACUCGCAUUCAACCUUGUCGUCCUUCACUCUUUCUCUUCCAGGAUGCCCAUUAGUUCUUGAUGGUUUGCCUGUCUCAUCUGAAAGAGGAGGGCGAGCUUCUGCGAAGCUACUGGCCUACAUACACAUGCCCAGUAGCUAAUAUGGAGUUUAAGCUCAACCGACUUCGCACCUGCAACAGGGGAGCUUUAGAGAGGAUUCCAACUACCUCUCUUUGGUGAUCAGUCCUCAAGGAUCCCUCACUGACAGCCUGGAACAGUACUUCAAGUGAGUGGCAUUACUGAUUUUAUCAUAUUAGUAGAAGGAAGUCAACAAGUUUAAGCAGUUUCUGAUUGGUUGAUUUCUGUGUUGUUUGUUUUCUCCAGACAUCUUCAUUGGACUGUUCAUGCAGUGAGUGUGCCGGCG